ensembl:snoRNA
AGCAGCCGUGUCAAAUUCAGUGCUUCCCCCUCAGUGGAUGCCACUGGCCAAAAUGGCUGCCACAGUGACGGUGUAGUUCAUGGGCCCCACGGUACUCCUUCAUGGCCACUGGGGAUAAAUAUGUACUACACACAAGC